GACGAACGCUGGCGGCGUGCUUAACACAUGCAAGUCGAACGGAAAGGCCCUGCUUUUGUGGUGUGCUUGAGUGGCGAACGUGUGUGUCACAUGUGUGUCAUCUGCCCUUGACUUUGGUAUAACUUCAGGAAACUGGGUCUUAUACCGGAUAGGAGCUCCUGCUGCAUGGUGGGUUUUGGAAAGUUUUCGCGGUUGGGGAUGGACUCGCGGCUUAUCAGCUUGUUGGUGGGGUAGUGGCUUACCAAGGCGUUGACGGGUAGCCGGCCUGAGAGGGUGACCGGCCACAUUGGGACUGAGAUACGGCCCAGACUCCUACGGGAGGCAGCAGUGGGGAAUAUUGCACAAUGGGCGGAAGCCUGAUGCAGCAACGCCGCGUGAGGGAUGACGGCCUUCGGGUUGUAAACCGCUUUCGCCAGGGAAGAAGCGUGAGUGACGGUAAUGGGUAAAGAAGCACCGGCUAACUACGUG
rnacentral:rRNA from 1 species